GCCAGGAGUUAAUUAGGGGGCACAGUUUUCCCAGGUCUACUUCGGCCUUGGGAUAAACUGCAACUCACUAUGGGAUCUUCCAAGAGAGAAGUAUUUAAUCGCCAAGAAAAAUUGGGUUUAACUGAUAAUCCUUUUAUAUGUACAAUGAUAUCUGCAUGAUCUGACCACGUAAUAUUGUUAAUUUGUGAGCUAUAUAAAUAGGGAGAAAUUGGUCAAAAACAUAUCUAUUCUAGAAUACGUAUCAUGUGGAUGCGAAUAAAAGGUAUAAUCAAGUGUGUCAGGAUGUUGA